rnacentral:rRNA from 1 species
CGUGCAGGCGGUAACGUAAGUCGUGUGUGAAAGCGCUCAGGCUCAACCGGGCGAGGCCAUGCGAAACUGCGUAACUCGAGAUAGGUAGAGGUAUGUGGAAUUCCGGGUGUAGUGGUGAAAUGCGUAGAGAUCCGGAGGAACACCAGUGGCGAAGGCGACAUACUGGACCUUAUCUGACGCUAAGACGCGAAAGCAUGGGGAGCGAACAGGAUUAGAUACCCUGGUAGUCC